rnacentral:rRNA from 1 species
CAUAUCAAUAAGCGGAGGAAAAGAAACCAACAGGGAUUGCCCCAGUAACGGCGAGUGAAGCGGCAACAGCUCAAAUUUGAAAUCUGGCCCCCCCGCGGGCCCGAGUUGUAAUUUGCAGAGGAUGCUUUUGGCGCGGCGCCUUCCGAGUGCCCUGGAACGGGACGCCAUAGAGGGUGAGAGCCCCGUCUGGUCGGACGCCCAGCCUCUGUAAAGCUCCUUCGACGAGUCGAGUAGUUUGGGAAUGCUGCUCUAAACGGGAGGUAUAUGUCUUCUAAAGCUAAAUACCGGCCAGAGACCGAUAGCGCACAAGUAGAGUGAUCGAAAGAUGAAAAGCACUUUGAAAAGAGGGUUAAACAGUACGUGAAAUUGUUGAAAGGGAAGCGCUUGUGACCAGACUCGGGCGCGGCGAAUCACCCGGCGUUCUCGCCGGUGCACUUCGACGCGCCCGGGCCAGCAUCAGCUCGCCGCGGGGGACAAAGGCGCCGGGAACGUGGCUCCCCAGGGAGUGUUAUAGCCCGGCGCGCAACGCCCCGCGGCGGACUGAGGUUCGCGCGUCCGCAAGGAUGCUGGCGUAAUGGUCACCAGUGACCCGUCUUGAAACACGGACCAAGGAGUCGUCCUCGUAUGCGAGUGUUCGGGUGUCAAACCCCUACGCGCAAUGAAAGUGAACGCGGGUGAGAGCCUCGCGGCGCAUCAUCGACCGAUCCUGAUGUUCUCGGAUGGAUUUGAGUAGGAGCAUACGGGGCCGGACCCGAAAGAAGGUGAACUAUGCCUGUGUAGGGUGAAGCCAGAGGAAACUCUGGUGGAGGCUCGCAGCGGUUCUGACGUGCAAAUCGAUCGUCAAACAUGGGCAUGGGGGCGAAAGACUAAUCGAACCUUCUAGUAGCUGGUUUCCGCCGAAGUUUCCCUCAGGAUAGCAGUGUUGAUCUCAGUUUUAUGAGGUAAAGCGAAUGAUUAGGGACCCGGGGGCGCUCUUCAGCCUUCAUCCAUUCUCAAACUUUAAAUAUGUAAGAAGCCCUUGUUGCUUGGUUGAACGUGGGCAUUCGAAUGUAUCAACACUAGUGGGCCAUUUUUGGUAAGCAGAACUGGCGAUGCGGGAUGAACCGAACGCGAGGUUAAGGUGCCGGAGUGGACGCUCAUCAGACACCACAAAAGGCGUUAGUACAUCUUGACAGCAGGACGGUGGCCAUGGAAGUCGGAACCCGCCAAGGACUGUGUAACAACUCACCUGCCGAAUGUACUAGCCCUGAAAAUGGAUGGCGCUCAAGCGUCCCACCCAUACCUCGCCCUCAGGGUAGAAGCGAUGCCCUGAGGAGUAGGCGGACGUGGGGGUCCGUGACGAAGCCCAGGGCGCGAGCCCGGGUCGAACGGCCUCUAGUGCAGAUCUUGGUGGUAGUAGCAAAUACUUCAAUGAGAACUUGAAGGACC